UAAUACGGAGGGGGCAAGCGUUGUUCGGAUUUACUGGGCGUAAAGGGUGUGUAGGCGGCUGGAUAAGUCUGGCGUGAAAUCUUCACCGCUUAACGGGAAGGGGUCGCUGGAAACUGUUCAGCUUGAGUAUGGUAGAGGCAAGCGGAAUUCCUGGUGUAGCGGUGGAAUGUGUAGAUAUCAGGAAGAACACCGGUGGCGAAGGCGGCUUGCUGGGCCAUCACUGACGCUGAGACACGAAAGCGUGGGGAGCAAACGGGAUUAGAUACCCCGGUAGUCCACGCUGUAAACGGUGCGCACUAGGUGUGGGGGGUAUCGACUCCUCCCGUGCCGACGUUAACACAUUAAGUGCGCCGCCUGGGGAGUACGGCCGCAAGGUUG
rnacentral:rRNA from 1 species